UACGUAGGUGGCAAGCGUUGUCCGGAUUUAUUGGGUUUAAAGGGUGCGUAGGUGGGCUGGUAAGUCAGUGGUGAAAUCUCCGGGCUUAACUCGGAAACUGCCAUUGAUACUAUCAGUCUUGAAUACCGUGGAGGUCAGUAGAAUAUGUCAUGUAGCGGUGAAAUGCUUAGAUAUGACAUAGAAUACCAAUUGCGAAGGCAGCUGGCUACACGAAUAUUGACACUCAGGCACGAAAGCGUGGGGAUCAAACAGG
rnacentral:rRNA from 1 species